rnacentral:rRNA from 1 species
UACGGGGGGAGCAAGCGUUGUUCGGAUUUACUGGGCGUAAAGGGCGCGUAGGCGGCCACUGCAAGUCAGUUGUGAAAUCUCCGGGCUUAACCCGGAAAGGUCAACUGAUACUGUAGGGCUAGAGUGCAGAAGGGGCAACUGGAAUUCUCGGUGUAGCGGUGAAAUGCGUAGAUAUCGAGAGGAACACCUGCGGCGAAGGCGGGUUGCUGGGCUGACACUGACGCUGAGGCGCGAAAGCCAGGGGAGCGAACGGG